CCUACGGGAGGCAGCAGUGGGGAAUCUUGCGCAAUGGGCGAAAGCCUGACGCAGCAACGCCGCGUGCGGGAAGAAGGCUUUCGGGCUGUAAACCGCUUUCAGUAGGAACGAAAAUGACGGUACCUACAGAAGAAGGAGCGGCCAACUAUGUGCCAGCAGCCGCGGUGACACAUAGGCUCCAAGCGUUGUCCGGAUUUAUUGGGCGUAAAGAGCUCGUAGGCGGUUGAGUAAGUCGGGUGUGAAAACUUUGGGCUUAACCCAAAGAUGCCACUCGAUACUGUUCGACUUGAGUUCGGUAGGGAGCGGGGAAUUCCUUGUGUAGCGGUGAAAUGCGCAGAUAUAAGGAGGAACACCGGUGGCGAAGGCGCCGCUCUGGGCCGAUACUGACGCUGAGGAGCGAAAGCGUGGGGAGCAAACAGGAUUAGAUACCCUGGUAGUCCACGCGGUAAACGGUGGUCACUAGGUGUGGGUUUCUAUCAAUGAGAUCCGCGCCGUCGCUAACGCAUUAAGUGACCCGCCGUCGGGUAGGUACGGUCGCGAGACGUAAACCGUAACGAAAGUAGAAGUUAGACGGUCGUGUAGACGUUAGUCCGAACGGACGACGACGAGGGAGGAGG
rnacentral:rRNA from 1 species